CACGUAGGGUGCGAGCGUUGUCCGGAAUUAUUGGGCGUAAAGAGCUCGUAGGCGGUGUAUCGCGUCGGCCGUGAAAACCUGCAGCUUAACUGUGGGCGUGCGGUCGAUACGGGCAUCACUGGAGUUCGGCAGGGGAGACUGGAAUUCCUGGUGUAGCGGUGAAAUGCGCAGAUAUCAGGAGGAACACCGAUGGCGAAGGCAGGUCUCUGGGCCGAUACUGACGCUGAGGAGCGAAAGCGUGGGGAGCGAACAGG
rnacentral:rRNA from 1 species